GACGAACGCUGGCGGCGUGCCUAAUACAUGCAAGUCGAACGCAGUGGGGACGGGUGAGUAACACGUGGGUAACCUCCCAUCAGAGGGGAUAACACUUGGAAAUAGGUGCUAAACCGAUACUGAUGUAUGGACCCGCGGUGCAUUAGCUAGUUGGUGAGGUAACGGCUCACCAAGGCCAAGAUGCAUAGCUGGCCUGAGAGGGUGAGCGGCCACACUGGGACUGAGACACGGCCCAGACUCCUACGGGAGGCAGCAGUAGGGAAUCUUCGGCAAUGGACGAAAGUCUGACCGAGCAAGGCCGCGUGAGUGAAGAAGGUUUUCGGAUCGUAAAGCUCUGUUGGUAGAGAAGCGGUAUCUAACGAGGAAGCCACGGCUAACUACGUGCCAGCAGCCGCGGUAAUUC
rnacentral:rRNA from 1 species